UACGGAUAUAUCACGUCGAAAAACCGUUUCUCGUACGAUCAGCGAAGUUAAGCAACGUCAAUCCUGCUCAGUACCUCAAUGGGUGACCCCUUGGAAAUACCAGGUACUGUAA